rnacentral:rRNA from 1 species
UACGUAGGGUGCAAGCGUUAAUCGGAAUUACUGGGCGUAAAGCGUGCGCAGGCGGUUUUGUAAGUUUGUCGUGAAAGCCCCGGGCUCAACCUGGGAAUUGCGAUGAAGACUGCAAGGCUUGAAUCUGGCAGAGGGGGGUAGAAUUCCACGUGUAGCAGUGAAAUGCGUAGAGAUGUGGGAGGAACACCGAUGGCGAAGGCAGCCCCCCUGGGUCAAGAUUGACGCUCAUGCACGAAAGCGUGGGGAGC